CUUAGUAUGAACUGCUCCUCCAUGCUACAAAACAAACCAAUCAUAUCAAUUUAUACUUCACUAAAUCAUCCCAAUAAAAUUCUUCUCCUCAGCAAUCCAUACACACAUCAAAGUUCAAGCGCUGGCUACAACAAGAUAUUAAAAGUCUACAAAUCUCUGCUCCUCAGCAAGUCUCUGUUUAUGGGUAUAGGAGAUUCUUCCAAAAUCAGAAUUAACGUCAAUCAAUGAGCAUACAAGACAUAUCCAAUAAACUAAAAAAAGGGUAUUGUGCAAAUUAGAAGAAAAUCUAAAAUCCCAAUACCAAUCCAAUAACCAUUCAUGCUAACAUUCAUAGCUAUAUAAAAACAAUUAAAAUACCUUUAAAACCCAUGAGAGAGAGAG
rnacentral:misc_RNA from 1 species